UACGGAGGAUCCAAGCGUUAUCCGGAAUCAUUGGGUUUAAAGGGUCCGUAGGCGGUUUGGUAAGUCAGUGGUGAAAGCCCAUCGCUCAACGGUGGAACGGCCAUUGAUACUGCCAGACUUGAAUUAUUAGGAAGUAACUAGAAUAUGUAGUGUAGCGGUGAAAUGCUUAGAGAUUACAUGGAAUACCAAUUGCGAAGGCAGGUUACUACUAAUGGAAUGACGCUGAUGGACGAAAGCGUGGGUAGCGAACAGG
rnacentral:rRNA from 1 species